rnacentral:rRNA from 1 species
GGUUAAGCGACUAAGCGUACACGGUGGAUGCCCUGGCAGUCAGAGGCGAUGAAGGACGUGCUAAUCUGCGAUAAGCGUCGGUAAGGUGAUAUGAACCGUUAUAACCGGCGAUUUCCGAAUGGGGAAACCCAGUGUGAUUCGUCACACUAUCAUUAACUGAAUCCAUAGGUUAAUGAGGCGAACCGGGGGAACUGAAACAUCUAAGUACCCCGAGGAAAAGAAAUCAACCGAGAUUCCCCCAGUAGCGGCGAGCGAACGGGGAGCAGCCCAGAGCCUGAAUCAGUGUGUGUGUUAGUGGAAGCGUCUGGAAAGGCGUGCGAUACAGGGUGACAGCCCCGUACACAAAAAUGCACAUACUGUGAGCUCGAUGAGUAGGGCGGGACACGUGGUAUCCUGUCUGAAUAUGGGGGGACCAUCCUCCAAGGCUAAAUACUCCUGACUGACCGAUAGUGAACCAGUACCGUGAGGGAAAGGCGAAAAGAACCCCGGCGAGGGGAGUGAAAAAGAACCUGAAACCGUGUACGUACAAGCAGUGGGAGCACGCUUAGGCGUGUGACUGCGUACCUUUUGUAUAAUGGGUCAGCGACUUAUAUUCUGUAGCAAGGUUAACCGAAUAGGGGAGCCGAAGGGAAACCGAGUCUUAACUGGGCGUU